GAUAAAAUUAAUUGUAUAAAAGAACUGGGUAUGUAGUAUGAAUGUUGCGACUUGCGGUGCAACUCGUUUGCGCACAACGAAAUCAGUCGUUUACCUGAAUACGGACAACUCGUUUGUGCACAACAUAAACACUGAGUAACAUAUUCAUAUUAUAUUUUAUAUUUUUAUAUUUAGAUUAACCUACCUAAAGUAACCUGUGACAUUUUUUUUUUAAGAAACAAACAUACUGAUACUUACAUCAAUAUGUGGAAAACGUUACAAAAUAUAUUAUGUAUUCAAAUUACUAGUAAAAUGAUAAAUUUAUAAAUUUUAGCAAUGUUUUUGUUGACUAAGAAAAAUCUGUAUAUAAUGGAGUAGGUAUUGAAAAUCUUCCGCAAUUGAAAAAUUGGGUGUUAUAACUUUCAUUUAGGGAAAAAUAGGUUUAGACAUAUUCAACAAAACAAAAUAUUAUCGAGCGAGUACUUAAACAAUAACUCUGAAAUUGCCAAAUGGAUAAAAUGUUUUAAGUUACCUAUUUAUUUAUUCACCCUUGACGAAGUUUCUGAUAUAUUUUAUGAUUUUAUGUCGAUAGCAUCAAGUCCUAAGUCAAAUACUAUUUCUAUAUUUUCCGAAUAUAUUUUGAGGAAAAUGUGCGUAAACGAGUUGUACCUUUAUUAAUUAUUAAACCUAAAAUAUGUGUGCGUUAACGAGUUGUGAUUUUGAGUGCAAACGAGACGUAUCCGUACGUCGAGUACCUAUCGAAUUUUGUAUACCUAUUAGUUAUCAUUUUAAUUUAAUGUUGUCGACAUACCGUAAUACUGUACAUCGUUUUUUACGUAAGUUGCAAAAUUAACAUUUUUAUACUUUGCUUGUAAUAAUGGACUCCACAAUAUUGAAUAUUUUUAUUGAAAGAGGUAUAGGAAAGACAAUCACUUCAUCCAUCCAUAGGCCUUCACGUCGAAUAUACAACAGAAGAAUCACGUUCCUAUGUUCAGCCUGCUCAAUCGACCCAGCCCGGCCAGAUCGACACGUCAUGCAGCUGCAGCUGCUGAGGUCGAUAUUUUGCUGGAGGGGAGGAGACAAAGGUUUGAAAAAAAAGUCACGAACCACGCCUGUACCAGAUGUCAGAUUUGAACCAUAGAAAAGAGAAUUUAGCCCUCCUCCAUUUACGUAUCUACAGCAUCUAAUGCGUCAUACGAACUCUUGUCAAUGCGCGCUUUGUAGUUUUGUACGGUGGAAAAUCAAUAGUGUUUUUUUUCACGAAUCGAAUAAUAAAUUACCUAAACGAUAAUAAUAUAAUAAUUAUAAGUACUGUUCCAAAUAGCUUUAGACUCGGUUAGAUAUAACUGUUUAGCACUUUAGCAUAAUAACGUCAUAUUAAAUAACGUUAUUUUGUAAUUAAUAUUAUUUAUAGUAGGCAUAUUAUGUUUGAUGUGGGUUUGAAGGAAACGUAGAUACGAUUGAGAAAAAUUCUUGUUACUUUAUCCUCUUUAAAAAUGAAUUCCCUUGAAAAUAUGUAUAAUAUGAGUAAUAAAAAUUACAUUUGAUA